GAUGAACGCUGGCGGCGUGCCUAAUACAUGCAAGUCGAGCGAACAGACGAGGAGCUUGCUCCUCUGACGUUAGCGGCGGACGGGUGAGUAACACGUGGAUAACCUACCUAUAAGACUGGGAUAACUUCGGGAAGCCGGAGCUAAUACCGGAUAAUAUAUUGAACCGCAGGGUUCAAUAGUGAAAGACGGUUUUGCUGUCACUUAUAGAUGGAUCCGCGCCGCAUUAGCUAGUUGGUAAGGUAACGGCCUACCAAGGCAACGAUGCGUAGCCGACCUGAGAGGGUGAUCGGCCACACUGGAACUGAGACACGGUCCAGACUCCUACGGGAGGCAGCAGUAGGGAAUCUUGCGCAAUGGGCGAAAGCCUGACGGAGCAACGCCGCGUGAGUGAUGAAGGUCUUCGGAUCGUAAAACUCUGUUAUUAGGGAAGAACAAAUGUGUAAGUAACUAUGCACGUCUUGACGGUACCUAAUCAGAAAGCAACGGCUAACUACGUG
rnacentral:rRNA from 1 species